rnacentral:lncRNA from 1 species
AUUUCUGUGUAAAUCAAAUGAGUUUUAUGAUACAGAGCCUAGCCCAGUACUUAGCAAAUAAUAGACAGCGGACAGAAUAUUUCCAUUAAAAAUAGGUUGCCUCAGGGGCCUGCCUGACCGCAUAGCUGUUAAGUUUACAAGCUUUGUUUUGGAGGUCCGGGGUUCAUCAGUUUGGACCCCAGACGUAGACCUACAUACCACUUAUCAAGCCAUGCUGUGGCAGGCAUCCCACAUAUAAAGUAGAGGAAGAUGGGCAUGGAUGUUAACUCAGGGUCGGUCCUCCUCAGCAAAAGAGGAGGAUUGGCAGUGGAUGUUAGCUCAGGGCUAAUCUUCCUCACAAAAAAAUUAACGGCUUGUCUCAGAUUUUCCUAUCAGCAGAUGGAAGCAAGUCCUGACAUAGAAUUAAGUGGAUGGGCUCUAAUAGGAGGGAAGAGAGAGAGAAGAGUCCAGAGUUGCAUCAUUGGUUGGGGAGAACGAGCUCAAGAGAAUGUCAGAGUGCAGCACUGCACACAAUCAAGGCCGAAGCCAGUACACCAUGGGGAGUCAGGAAAAGGAGGUUGGGAGCGUAGGCUGGUGAGAUGGAGAACAAAGGCUAAGGAGGCACUUGACCUUGUCCUAAUUUUGCCUACACUGCAUUUGUGGAAAGAUUUCUGAGAGAAUAAGACCCAGAUAAAUUAGUAGAAUGAGAGGAAUCUUAUCUUAAGAAAAAAGAAGUUAUAGUCAUUCUCACAUAAUAAAAUAUGAGGAGAGAAAAGAGGAUUAAAAGUGAUAUUGCAUUUCUCAAGAGGAAAAGAGAAAGGAAGCUGGUUAAAAUUAGUUUGGAUAAAGGAUCAUGUUAGAAAGUAGAAAAAAAUUAACAAGCAAACUAUAGGUCAAAUAGUUAUGUAGGUAAAUUUUGUGUUUAAGACACUCAGAACUAACAUUUUAUUCUUUUUUCCAAAUGAUAUGGCUUCUGUAAUGACUGGAGUUGUGAUUCACCAACAGUCCGUUCACAAGGGCCUCAGAUCCGUGAAUGUGGGAAUGGAACAGAAAGCUAUUUUGCAGAACCAGAGAACAUAGGCGGCCUUCUACCUGCCUGAAACUCUUUCUUCACUUGAUUUCCACGAUACCACGCUGACCUGGGGCUCGUCCCUCCUACCUCACUAUGUGUUCUUUCUACGGAUUUCCUGCUGAUCUCUUCUGAUUUUUCUGAUCUCUGAAUGUUGGGUUUUGCCCCAAGGCUCAGCCUUGGGAUCUGUUUUCUUUUCUUUCUACACUUAUUAUCAAGGUGCUAUCAUUCAGUCUCAUGCUUUAAAACUCCAUGUAUAUGCUGGAACUUAGCCAUAUCUCAC